GUAUUUGUUUAUUUAUUAACGGGAACCAGAAACUCAGGGUAUAAAAACAGAAAAGUGUUGGUCUCUCUACACAAUUCGCGCCGGGACUGACAGAACAAGAACUGAGACCUUUAAGAAGAAUAGUUUUCUAAAAACAACAAAUUAAGAAAUGGCAUGUAAAACGUACCUCAUAAUUCUACUGGUUAGCUGUUUGCUUGUCUCCAUGUGUAUCCAACAAAGCAACGGGCAACAGCAAGGGUUGAGAUGGGGGAAGAAAUCCGUAGAUUCAUUGGAACAAGAGAUUAAUGAAGAGAAAGCUGCGGACGAAUUGAGACGAUUCAAGGAUUAUUUCAAGCGAAAAUAUAACCAGGAUGCCACUUUCUAGAGAGGCGCAGUAGCACAGACCACAGCAAUCCCAACUAUGGACAAGAUAAAUUAAAACAAAAUCCUGCCAAAUCAGUUUGGCUGAAACAAAUCCUAAAUCAAAGAAAUAAUUAAUUUUUUGAAUGAACAUUUUAUGACGCGAAUAAUUGUAAAUCACGACAUUCAUUCUUGAAAGAUUAUCAAAAGCAAUAAAUAACGAAUAGACAAGAAA